rnacentral:rRNA from 1 species
GAGUUUGAUCGUGGCUCAGAUUGAACGCUGGCGGCAUGCCUUACACAUGCAAGUCGAACGGCAGCAUGAUCUAGCUUGCUAGAUUGAUGGCGAGUGGCGAACGGGUGAGUAAUACAUCGGAACGUGCCCUGUAGUGGGGGAUAACUAGUCGAAAGAUUAGCUAAUACCGCAUACGACCUGAGGGUGAAAGUGGGGGACCGCAAGGCCUCAUGCUAUAGGAGCGGCCGAUGUCUGAUUAGCUAGUUGGUGGGGUAAAGGCCCACCAAGGCGACGAUCAGUAGCUGGUCUGAGAGGACGAUCAGCCACACUGGGACUGAGACACGGCCCAGACUCCUACGGGAGGCAGCAGUGGGGAAUUUUGGACAAUGGGCGAAAGCCUGAUCCAGCAAUGCCGCGUGUGUGAAGAAGGCCUUCGGUU